GCCGCCUUUGCCCCUCCCCUUUCUCAUUCCUAGCAUGCAACCGAGAGAGGGAGAGAGUGUCAUGGCGGUGUUGUAGAUCCCCUCGCCGCCGCAUCUGCCUGCUGAGGUCUGCUGCAUCUCCCGCCUUGAGUUAGUCUUCAUUCAUAUUUUGGCCGUUGGAUCGCAUGCCGAGAUCCGCACUGGAGCUAUCCUUUUCGGGGAGAUUUUCUUUUCUGUGUGUUAUCGGGCACACUUUGUUUCCGGGCCAGCCCAGUACCGCAUUCCCUGGCUCUCUCUUUGUCCCCCGCCUCAUUUCGGAGCCCAUCACGGCAGAGAGAGGGCACUAAGAACAGAGAGAUGGGAGGCGAUUCCUGCGAUUUCUUCGUUGUGUACGGCGAUUCUGAUCUCCUCCUCAUCUUCUUCAGCUAGAUUUCUGCUCCAGUACCUUGUGGUUUCGGUUGUUUGUCCUUGUCUUCUUCUUUUCCCCAUUGGAUUUCUUCUAGGUCUAGUGGCUUGUUUCGAUUCCCCUGGUGUUUGAUGUACAUAUAGGGGUGUAUGUGUCCUCGUAGCGGAGGAUUUUCCUGGCGAUUUCGUUGCAGUUGUAGCGGUAGGUGCAUGGAUGUAGCGGCGGAUUUGAUUCUCCUGUUGAUUUUCUAUCACUGGCCUGAGCGUCUAAUUCUGCUGUUUUUUUUUCUAUUUGGCAUGUGGUUUUAGGUAGUAAUUGCAUCUAAGUUACAACAACUUAAUAACUAUAAUUUCAUUUAAUUACAAUAUAGUUUCCUCUGACAUUGUAGAGUAGUGACACUGUGAUUACAGUGUUGUUACAGUGUAAUUUCCAGGGGUAAUCAGAGUGACAGUAACUUCUGGGAUUGUUAGUUUACAAUCACUGCAAUUACAAAUUACACUGUAAUUUCAGGUCAAUUACAGUGCUAUUGUUAGUGUAUAUUUAGUGUAAGUACACUAGAUCAGAAUGAAAUUUUCAUUGCAAUUAAAGUAUUUUUUUUUGGUCUACAAGCAUUUUAGAAUCUUUUUCUUUGCAGUUUGUCUUUGUUGGCUGGUAUUUGCAUUCAUUUAUAACCAUUUAUUUAUUUUUCUUUGUGUUUGUGGUAUUGCAUCUAAGUUACAGCACUUCAUAACUGUAAUUUUAUUUUAUUUACAGUAUAAUUUCCUCUAAAAUUAUAGAGUAAUCACAAUUUAGUUAUAUUGUUACAAUGUAAUUUCAGAGUAAUUGUGUAAUUUUCAGGGUAAUUACACUGAAAAUCACUGUGCUAUUUUGUUGUAAUUACUGCAAUUUCACUGUAAUUUACAGUGUUGUUACAAUGUAAUUUCCAGUGGUAAUUACAGUGAUAUUUUUACUGUUAUUUAUAUACUAGGAUAUUUACUGUAUUUACCAUUAGUGCAAUUACAGUGUAAUUUCAGUAAAAAUUACAGUGUAAUUAGACUAUCAAUCACAGUGUCUUUGUUGGGUUGUGUUGCAUCUAGUCACACUGUCAAUAUAUACUGAAUCUAUCUUUGUGUCUGAAACUUUGCCAACUUCCUAUCUAAUAUACAGUGUAAUUUUUUAUCAUUUGUACUCAUACUCUCUUGUCUUUUUUCUUAGCAUUGAAGCAGUGAGAUGUGAUACGGCCUAUUGUUCAUAUCGGUCACUUGGUACUUUGUGCCCUAAUGGACAUCUAGGCAACUUCCUGGUCGUAUCUUACUGUGGUUUUUUUUUUUUGCUCUUUUAAAGGAGAUCGUCUUGAAUAAUUCCAGUCCUGAACUCAUCUGAAAUGCUUUUGAAGGUGCCAACGGUGCAUUUCCAAUGUGGAGGACCAACUAUAAGUACUUUAAUUUCUGCCUUCUUUUUUGGUGUUUGUCUUUGCCCUUUCUUUUUAUUUCUUAUUUCCUCUAUAUACAUUUUUCUUCAUAUUAUUCUUCCUUUUUGCAGCUAGACUUUCCUUUAACCAUUUGAAAGAAUGGGUUUUCUUUCAUCGUUUCUUUGAAGGAAGACCCUUUGCUUUCGUUGAUUCAGCUUUCGAUGAGCAUUCUUAAUUUCACUUGCAGAUUCAUGAUCCGCAAGUACUUCCUCCGUAAAGAAAUAUAAGAGCGUUUAGUUCACUAGCAUUUAGAUCACUAAAAGUAGUGACCUAAACGUUGUUAUAUUUAUUUCCGGAGGGAGUACAUUGCUAAUCAAUUUGUUUCUACAUUAGUCUCCUUUUUGAAGGCACUAUGUUAUCUUCCAAGGUUUGCUCUCAUAUUUUUUUUAUUUUAUUCAAAGAAUUAUAAACUUCAUAGGACGUUGGGAUGCUUUUGUUACUCCCAUGACGAGGAAACAAAUCGAUUUCGAAAAAUUUGACGUAGUCUACCUAGCUGUUCCCAACCAGACCAAUAUGUAAUUUGGUUUUUAGUAUGGCUGACCUGAUUUCCUUUUAAAUUUUGUUCUCAAUUUACAUUGUUGGUAUCUUAUUUUUCUGUUUUUCUACCUUUAUUCAUGUGAAAUCAGACACGAUUAUGUUGUCUUUACAUUCAAGUUUAUGGAAGUGUGGACCACAAGGACUCAAGUUACUAACCACUUUUCAAGCGCUGACAUACCCAACUUAAGGAUAAAGCAUGCUAAUGAUAUGUUUUUCAGCGAGUUCAACAGUGUGGAUAAGUUCUAGUUACUGAUUUCUUUGCAGAUGUAAGCACUUCUGUUUUUAUUACUUCAAAUUUGCAGGAUAGAGAUUCA